AGUGGAUAGUUCAGUGACCAUACAAAGCAUGGGCAAACAGGCAGCGUUAUGUAGAGAGCAGAGAGCAAGGCAGGAGGCGGCUCGGCUGCUGUCUGGAUCCAUCUUGUGACUGUGCCUUAACCGCAGCCUGCAACUCCAGGCCUCUUUCAAGGACAGUGUAAUAAUGGCACUUACAGGGCCCAUCCUCACUGCGAUUUUUGUUUGUUGCUCUGUUCAAUAAGGCUUUCAGGAGGUGGUGGCCUUUUCAGCUUGGAAAAGAGAACAUCUUUUACCUUUAGCUUGAUCCGUCAGCUAUUGAAGUCAGUGGAAAAGCUCCUAGUGAUUUGAGCAUGUCAUCACGAGGUUGGUGAAAGGAUGGAACAAAAGUGAAACCUGAAGUGAGAGAAGUCCUGUGAAAACUGAAGUGAGAGAAGUCCUGUCCUCCAGGGAUAGUGUUUUAACUAAAAAUAUAGCAUUGGGAAAAGGAUAAAGGUAUUUUUUCAUCAUCUUGUGUCUCACACCACUAACUCAAAUUUUGUGGAUUCAGAAAAGCCUUCAGGUAUUCUCUGUGCUCUGUCUCCUGAGCAGUUUCAGAUUAGAUCAUAAAGAGGAGAGUGGAGAGAUGUAAGAAUUUUCAUGAAAUGUAUUUGGUAGAGGGGACUUAAUAAAUACCCGUUGUGUAUUCA
rnacentral:lncRNA from 1 species